AGAGAUCCUGCUGCCAGGACCACCUUUCCUGAAGGGCUGGUGGCAGCGGGUGACACUGGGCACAGCAUCGCGUGUGGGUACCAACUACUCUUCUGCAAGCGGUCUCCACGACACGAGCUGUCCCGGGGACUGACGUGGUUGGGAUCGCAGACAUCACUGUCCCAAGUGCCUACCUCCUUUCUUUCCUUCAGCUGGAACUGCCCAUUCGGAAAACUGCUGCAGGAUGUUGUAGAAGGAGAACUGGAGCCCGGCAUACGGGAAGAUAGCGAUGAUAGUGGGAGUCAAACCUCUAUAGAAAGUGCGGGGCCCUUCUGUCUGGUACAUGGUCACCACUGCGUGGCGAAGGUUGCGAUAGAUCUAGACAAUAAAGAGAGGCUGACUUUCCAGUGAAA